rnacentral:lncRNA from 1 species
AUGGAGGCGGGCGCCGGGGCCGGCGCGGGCGCCUCGGGCUGGAGCUGCCCGGGCCCAGGACCCACAGUGACCACUUUAGGCUCCUAUGAGGUGUCGGAGGGUUGUGAGAGGAAGAAGGGCCAACGCUGGGGGUCUUUGGAACGGCGGGGGAUGCAAGCUAUGGAGGGGGAAGUGUUACUCCCAGCUCUCUACGAGGAGGAAGAGGAGGAGGAGGAGGAAGAAGAGAUGGAAGAAGAGGAUGAUCCAGGGCAGAAAGGCGGCAACGCAGGCUCCCUGUCGGUUAGCAAGCACCGAGGCCUGAGCCUCACGGAGACGGAGCUGGAGGAGCUGAGGGCUCAGGUGCUGCGGCUGGUGGCAGAACUGGAGGAGACCCGGGAGCUGGCAGGGCAGCACGAAGAUGACUCUCUGGAGCUGCAGGGGCUCCUGGAGGACGAGCGGCUGGCCAGCGCCCAGCAGGCAGAGGUGUUCACUAAGCAGAUCCAGCAGCUCCAGGGUGAGCUGCGGUCCCUGCGGGAGGAAAUUUCCCUGUUAGAGCGUGAAAAAGAAUGUGAACUUAAGGAAAUAGAACAGGAGUUGCAUUUAGCCCGGGCUGAGAUCCAGACUCUGCGGCAAGCAGCGGAGGACUCCGCGACUGAACACGACAGUGACAUAGCCUCCCUGCAGGAGGACAUCUGCCGGAUGCAGAAUGAACUCGAGGACAUGGACCGAAUCCGAGGAGAGUAUGAGAUGGAGAUCACCUCCCUCCGUGCAGAAAUAGACAUGAAGAACUCUGACCCUUCCAAUAGUUUCAGUCUCUCAGAUUUCUCUGAGAUGCAAGAAGAGUUGCAGCAACUGCGGGAACGCUACCACUUCCUGAACGAGGAGUACCGGGCCCUGCAGGAGAGCAACAGCAGCCUCACAGGGCAGCUUGCAGAUCUGGAGAGUGAGAGGACACGAAGAGCAACAGAAAGAUGGCUGGAGUCCCAAACGCUACGGACUAUGAGGUCAGCAGAGUCUCAGACCUCAGAAGAGGAUUUCCUGGAGCCCGAUCCUGGAAUGCAUUUGUUGCGGCAGCAGCUACUGGGAGCCAAGGAGCAGAUGCAUGACAUGCAGAGCAAGUGUAAGAAAUUGACUUGUGAGUUGCAAGAGCUACAUCACCAUCGCCGGACCAGUGAGGAGGAGCAGAAGCGGCUGCAGAGGGAGCUAAAGUGUGCACAGAAUGAGGUGCUUCGGUUUCAGACGUCCCACAGCGUCACCCAGAACGAGGAGCUGAAGACCAGACUCUGUGCCCUGCAGCAAAAGUACGAUGCUAGCCAGGAUGAGCAGAGUGAGCUCUUGAAGGUGCAGCUACAACUUCAGGCUGAGCUCCGGCAGCUCAAAGUCAUGAAAAGCACAGUAGAAAGCCAGAGUGAGAAGGAGCUACAGUGCCAGCUACAGAAGCUGCAGCUGCAGUGCCACAGCAUCUCAUGUGAGAAGAACAAGCUGCUGGACGUGCAGCAGCACCUGCGGGACACUCUGCGCUGCCACGAGGCUGAGGUGCAGCACCUCAGGGGUGUUGUGACCACCUACCAGGAGAGCAGCGAGAAGAGUGCAGAGGUCCACGCCCAGCUGCAGGAGACGAAGCGGCUGUACCAGUGCAGCCAGGAAACGCUGGACCGGCAGAAGCACAUGUAUGACCAGCUGGAGCAGGACUUCCUACUCUGCCAGCAGGAGCUGCAGCAGCUCAGGAGCACCCAGUCCAUCCUAGAGGACAAGGGGAAGUGUGCUAAUAAGUGUGACGCGCUGCUCUUCAGACUGACAGAAUUGCAGGAGAGUUACAAGGCCAGCCAGAAGGAGAUGGCGCAGAUGCAGAUGGAGCAGUGCGAGCUCCUGGAGGAACAGAGGAGGAUGCAGGAGGAGCAGGGCCAGCUACAAGAAGAGCUGCACAGGCUCACGUUCCCGCUCCCCAAGUCUGGUCUCUUCCACAAGAGUCAGGAGCUCCUCACAAAGUUACAGGACCUGUGUGAAGUGCAGAUGCUCUACCAAGGCAUGCAGGAGGAGCAGAAGAAACUGAUACAGAACCAAGAGAACAUAGUAAAAGAACAGUUAGAACUGCAAGGAGCCCUGCACCAUUUCAAGGAGUCCAGCUUCCGGGAAGUGUUGGAGAAUCCCGAGGAUCCCAAAUGGCCUAAGUCCUCAAAGUGUGGUCACAACAAGUCCAAGAUGAUCAUCGCCCAGAUGCAGGCCCUGCAGGAGCUGUACGAGGCCAGUGAGACCGAGCAGGAGCUGCUCCAGCAGGAGCAGGAGCGGCUUCUGGAGGAGCGGAAGAGGCUGCAGGCCGACCUGCAGCUCUGUCUGGAAGAAAUGCAGCUGCUCCAAGACCAGUCCCCUGCAAUCAAGAUGAGCCUGGACUCCUACAGGAAGAGUUACGCGAGCACGACCACCAGCAACGAGAACUGCCACAAGAGCUGCAACCUCAAUGACGAUGAGGGCUACCAGAAGAGCUACGGCAGCAGCCAGGCCAGUGAAGAGAGCCUCCUCAAGAGCUACGAAAGCAGCACAGAUGCCAGCGAGUCCUGUCAGCGGAGCUACCUCAGCAGCAGCAGCAGCAGCUCCGACACCUAUAAGAGGAGCUAUGGCAGCAGCAGCAGCAGCUCCGUCACCUGUCACAAGAGUUACGUCAGCAGCAGCAUGGACGACGAGCUGGCCGAGCCUGGAGAUGUGGAGCACCUUGAGGACGUGGUCGCCAAGGUGCUGAUCAAGCUGCAGGGUGUGCAGGCCAUGUACCAGCUCAGCCAGGAAGAGCACAAGCUGCUGCAGCAGCGGAUGAAGAAGCUGCUGGAUGAGCAGAAAGAGCUCAAGGAGGAGCUGGACGCCUGCGAGAAGGAAUUCAAGGAGUGCAUGGAAGGCCUUGAGAAGCCCGUCGCCUCCCAAAACGACAAGGACAAGAAUGAGAUCAAGGAACUGCAGGCCAAGCUGCGGGAGCUGCAGCUGCAGUACCAGGCCAGCAUGGAUGAGCAGGGGCGGCUCCUGGCCGUGCAGGAGCAGCUGGAGGGGCAGCUACAGUGCUGCCAGGAAGAGCUCCGCCAGCUCAAAGAGAAGAAGUCCUCUGUUACCAAGGAAAUCAGGGGCAAGAACGGCAACAAGAACAUGAACAAGAACGCCAAUGGGGUGAAAAAUAAAAAGGUGGCCAAGCCAAGCGUAGAGAGUACUGAGAGCGGCCUUGAGACUACAAAGAGUCUGGAGGUGGUGCUGUACUAUAAGGCCAGCCACACAUCCUUGGAUGGUCCAACAAAGGAGGAGGAGAAAGAGGAAAAGAAGGAGGAAACAAAGGAGGAGUCCCAGGACAGAAUGGUUUCUGAGCCAUCAGGUCCUAAAGAGGUUAAGUUCAAAGACGAUCAGGAGGAGAAAGACGAAGAGUUCCCCAACCAGGAGGGUAAGGACGAAGACGACCAGGAGGAGGAGGAUGAUGAAGAAGCUUCAGAGGAAAGCAACCCCCUCAAACUUUCUGAGAGCAAAAAGAACAUGUUUGGGAUGUGGAAGCCUGUGGUGUUCUUGGCUCUUGCAGCUGUGGCUCUGUAUGUGUUACCCAACAUGCGACCGCAGGAGACAGAGUUCUGCCUCAUGGAGUGA